CCUACGGGAGGCUGUGGGGAAUAUUGGACAAUGGGCGAAAGCCUGAUCCAGCCAUGCCGCGUGUGUGAAGAAGGCCUUCGGGUUGUAAAGCACUUUCAGUGGGGAAGAAAGCCUUGGGGCUAAUACCCUCGAGGAAGGACAUCACCCACAGAAGAAGCACCGGCUAACUCCGUGCCAGCAGCCGCGGUAAUACGGAGGGUGCGAGCGUUAAUCGGAAUUACUGGGCGUAAAGCGCGCGUAGGCGGUCUGAUAAGCCGGUUGUGAAAGCCCCGGGCUCAACCUGGGAACGGCAUCCGGAACUGUCAGGCUAGAGUGCAGGAGAGGAAGGUAGAAUUCCCGGUGUAGCGGUGAAAUGCGUAGAGAUCGGGAGGAAUACCAGUGGCGAAGGCGGCCUUCUGGACUGACACUGACGCUGAGGUGCGAAAGCGUGGGUAGCAAACAGGAUUAGAUACCCGUGUAGUC
rnacentral:rRNA from 1 species